GAGUUUGAUCUUGGCUCAGAUUGAACGCUGGCGGCAGGCCUAACACAUGCAAGUCGAGCGGUAGAGAGAAGCUUGCUUCUCUUGGAGAGCGGCGGACGGGUGAGUAAUGCCUAGGAAUCUGCCUGGUAGUGGGGGAUAACGCUCGGAAACGGCGCUAAUACCGCAUACGUCCUACGGGAGAAAGCAGGGGACCUUCGGGCCUUGCGCUAUCAGAUGAGCCUAGGUCGGAUUAGCUAGUUGGUGAGGUAAUGGCUCACCAAGGCGACGAUCCGUAACUGGUCUGAGAGGAUGAUCAGUCACACUGGAACUGAGACACGGUCCAGACUCUACGGAGGCAGCAGUGGGGAAUAUUGGACAAUGGGCGAAAGCCUGAUCCAGUCAUGCCGCGUGUGUG
rnacentral:rRNA from 1 species